rnacentral:rRNA from 1 species
UACGGAGGGAGCUAGCGUUGUUCGGAAUUACUGGGCGUAAAGCGCACGUAGGCGGCUUUGUAAGUUAGAGGUGAAAGCCCGGGGCUCAACUCCGGAACUGCCUUUAAGACUGCAUCGCUAGAAUCCAGGAGAGGUGAGUGGAAUUCCGAGUGUAGAGGUGAAAUUCGUAGAUAUUCGGAAGAACACCAGUGGCGAAGGCGGCUCACUGGACUGGUAUUGACGCUGAGGUGCGAAAGCGUGGGGGAGCAAACAGGG